GAUGAACGCUAGCGGCAGGCCUAAUACAUGCAAGUCGGACGGGAUUUGGGAGCUUGCUCCCAAUGAGAGUGGCGCACGGGUGCGUAACACGUAUGUAACCUACCUUAAUCAGGGGGAUAGCCUCUCGGAAGAGAGAUUAACACCGCAUAACAUCAUGAGAUAGCAUUAUUUUAUGAUCAAAUAUUUAUAGGAUUAAGAUGGGCAUGCGGGACAUUAGCUAGUUGGCGGGGUAACGGCCCACCAAGGCGACGAUGUCUAGGGGAUCUGAGAGGAUGGCCCCCCACACUGGUACUGAGACACGGACCAGACUCCUACGGGAGGCAGCAGUAAGGAAUAUUGGUCAAUGGGCGCAAGCCUGAACCAGCCAUGCCGCGUGCAGGAAGACGGCCCUACGGGUUGUAAACUGCUUUUGUACCGGAAUAAACCUUGAUAUGUAUAUCAAGCUGAAUGUACGGUAAGAAUAAGGAUCGGCUAACUCCGUGCCAGCCGCCGCCGUAACAC
rnacentral:rRNA from 1 species